ensembl:lncRNA
CAGCCCGUCAGGAGUAGGAGCAACAACACCAACUCAUCCACCAGCAAAAAAGCCGUAGCCUACAAUUGACAAAACAAGACACUACCCAUUCCAGACACAGAACAGGUGUUGAUUCCCCUUCUGACUGAAACUAUUUGAUGAAUCAAUGGAUCAACAAGAAAAUGAAAACACAGCUCUUAGCCAAGUCGCGGCUGGAAUCGCGCUUUCGCUGUUGGCUGCUUUUGUCGCCACCGUGUGGUGGUUCGACCGCCAGAGACGAACCAGCGAGAGUCCUACCAGACCGCGCAUGGAAGGGGACCGAUCAGUAUUCAAGGUGCCCCAGAGCCCGCCACCCAAGACACCAAAACCCUCCGUUUUUGAGCCAAUCUCAGAGCCUGAAGUCCAGGAAGCGGUGGGACAAUUUGAAGACACAGAGGAGGCAGAAGAGAACAUGGUUUCCUAGUUUAAAUGUAUUCCUGUUUUAUCUGUCCUGUAUUUUCUACAAAUAUUUUUUGAAUUACAAAAGACAUUGUAUUGUGUUAAUUGUGGAACGCUUUUCUAUUAUUUCUUCCUCUUUACAUUUCCCUGUUACAGAAUCCUUUCAGAAAUAAUCUAGCCAAAGAGAAGUAGAAAACUAGAAGUUGUUGAAGCACCAUUUAAACAAAAUAAGAUUUUGCUUUAGAUAUCAAUAGAUUUGGACCCAGUUAGGCUAUUCAUGACAUUUAGUUGUCAUUAUUUAAAAAUACCUUAUAUUUUUGUAAUUAUUACAACUUAGUGACACAAUAAUAAAGGAAUACCAAUCUAAGUGUUUGGUUCAUCUCAGGGCCGGCCCCCGGGCUUUUAGGGCUGUUUUCUUUGUAUUGAUGACAUUUCCAUUUUCUCUCCAUCCCCUGCUGAGCAAGAGUAACACGUAUGCCAUGUUCUCCAGCGCCAGGAGAAUGAGCUUUAAGUAAAGGUUUGGAAGUGGGAAUUACACCCCAAGUCCCCUCGGUGUCCUGUCUAGGGUACAACAU